GACAGAGGUGCCGAGCGUUAGGCGGAAUCACUGGGCUUAAAGCGUGUGUAGGCGGGGCGUUAAGUGCCUUGUGAAAUCCCACAGCUCACCUGUGGAACUGCUUGGCAUACUGGCGAUCUUGAGCCACUUAGGGGCAACCGGAACAAACGGUGGAGCGGUGAAAUGCGUAGAUAUCAGGAAGAACACCGGUGGCGAAAGCGCUCUGCUAGGCCGCAACUGACACUGAGGGACGAAAGCUAGGGGAGCGAAUGGG
rnacentral:rRNA from 1 species